rnacentral:siRNA from 1 species
UUGAUUCGUACACUUAGAUUGUA